UAGGGAAUCUUCGGCAAUGGACGGAAGUCUGACCGAGCAACGCCGCGUGAGUGAAGAAGGUUUUCGGAUCGUAAAGCUCUGUUGUUAGAGAAGAACGUUGGUAGGAGUGGAAAAUCUACCAAGCGACGGUAACUAACCAGAAAGGGACGGCUAACUACGUGCCAGCAGCCGCGGUAAUACGUAGGUCCCGAGCGUUGUCCGGAUUUAUUGGGCGUAAAGUGGGCGCAGGCGGUUCUUUAAGUCUGAAGUUAAAGGCAGUGGCUUAACCAUUGUACGCUUUGGAAACUGGAGGACUUGAGUGCAAAAGGGGAGAGUGGAAUUCCAUGUGUAGCGGUGAAAUGCGUAGAUAUAUGGAGGAACGCCGGUGACGAAAGCGGCUCUCUGGUCUGUAACUGACGCUGAGGCUCGAAAGGGUGGGGAGCAAACAGG
rnacentral:rRNA from 1 species